rnacentral:sRNA from 1 species
AACUGUUCCCCUCUGGAGGUUCAUACCUUCAAAACUCAUGGGCCGCGGUUUUUCCGACGGCCCUUUUUCUUUUUCUCU